GGCUUCACAGCUCAGUUGGUCGAGCAUCGCACGAGCAUCGCGGAGGUCACGGGUGCGAAUCCCGUGGAAGCCC
rnacentral:tRNA from 1 species